UGUACAAAUUAAAUAGAUAUGCAUAAUUAAUUACGGUUGCUAAUUGAGCCCGAACCGGACAUAUUUCUCUAUCAAUUCCUGUUUGAUUUAUUUUACAGUUUAAAUGCAUUACGGUAUCUGGUUUAUUUAUUCUAUAGUUUUGAAUGCAUGUAUCACUGUUUACUUCACUACUGUUUGAUUUUGGGAAUCUAAGAUAUGUUUACU
rnacentral:lncRNA from 1 species